rnacentral:rRNA from 1 species
GACGAACGCUGGCGGCGUGCUUAACACAUGCAAGUCGAACGCUGAAGCUUGGUGCUUGCACGGGGUGGAUGAGUGGCGAACGGGUGAGUAAUAAGUGAGUCACCUGCCCUUGACUCUGGGAUAAGCCUGGGAAACUGGGUCUAAUACUGGAUACGACAUGUCACCGCAUGGUGGUGUGUGGAAAUGGUUUUACUGGUUUUGGAUGGGCUCACGGCCUAUCAGCUUGUUGGUGGGUUAAUGGCUCACCAAGGCGACGACGGGUAGCCGGCCUGAGAGGGUGACCGGCCACACUGGGACUGAGACACGGCCCAGACUCCUACGGGAGGCAGCAGUGGGGAAUAUUGCACAAUGGGCGGAAGCCUGAUGCAGCGACGCCGCGUGAGGGAUGACGGCCUUCGGGUUGUAAACCUCUUUCAGCACGGAAGAAGCGAAAGUGACGGUACGUGCAGAAGAAGCGCCGGCUAACUACGUG